rnacentral:rRNA from 1 species
UACGUAGGGUGCAAGCGUUGUCCGGAAUUAUUGGGCGUAAAGAGCUCGUAGGCGGUCUGUCACGUCGGAUGUGAAAAUCCAGGGCUCAACCCUGGACCUGCAUUCGAUACGGGCAGACUAGAAUUCGGUAGGGGAGACUGGAAUUCCUGGUGUAGCGGUGAAAUGCGCAGAUAUCAGGAGGAACACCAAUAGCGAAGGCAGCUCGCUGGGACGUUACUGACACUGAGGCGCGAAAGCGUGGGGAGCGAACAGG